rnacentral:misc_RNA from 1 species
AAGGUGGGGCUGAUGACUGGGGUGAAGUCGUAACAAGGUAUCCGUACCGGAAGGUGCGGAUGGAUCACCUCCUAACAGGGAGACAAAACAAUGAUUUUGAUGUCUGAGUAUUUUAUUCUUAGGCCGAAAUCCUGUCACCUUAGGUCGAUCGGUACCUCAACAUUUUUCCAAAGAUUGGUGAGCAAUCAUCAAAAGAUUGGAAAGGAUGUUCAGUUCCUAAACUUUGUCUAGGUCACACCCCGCAAGGGAAGAGUCCCCUGGGCCAUUAGCUCAGGUGGUUAGAGCGCACCCCUGAUAAGGGUGAGGUCCCUGGUUCAAGUCCAGGAUGGCCCAUUCGGUGUUGGGGGUUUAGCUCAGUUGGUAGAGCGCCUGCUUUGCAAGCAGGAUGUCAGGAGUUCGAGUCUCCUAACCUCCACUGACAGAACUCAAUCUCCAUUGUCCGGUAACUCGGAGGAUGAAUUCAAAGGUGUGUGAUUUAGAUGUGUCCACUAGAUAGGACCCUAGCUUCCUGUCAUUCCGAACAAGUGAUUAUUGCUUGAUUGGCUGAUAUGAUGCUGGGCUCAGAUUAAUCGAAAGAUUAAUUUGAUCUCUAGUAGAACCUUGACAACUGCAUAAGUAAGUCUGGAAAAACGAAGCAUCUUACAGAUGCAUUGUUUUAAGUCUGAAUUCUCGAAAGAGAGUUUAGAUCUAGAAUGAUGAAAAUUCUUUUAAGCAAGAGCCGAGACUCUUAGAUGUUCUUUUUAUCGUGUCGAGCGAUAAAGAGUUUGAUUUUGUUUUUAUGAGCAGCGAAAGUUGCUAAUGAAACCAGAAGAAUCUGCUUUCAACCGCAGUAAGCGUUUAAGAGGUUAAUUGGUCAAGCUACAAAGGGCUCAC